GCCAGCAGUUCCUUUUCCAGGUGUCUGUAGCUGUUAGGGUUUGCAUAGCUGUGGGCAAGCAGGCAACAGGCAUGGCCCGUGUUGCUGCUAUCAUCCUUUGUGUGAUGCAGGGAAGUGUCUUUGUUUGCUGCUUAACCUGGGCAAGAGUGAUUUUAACAGCAAGGUGAAUCCCGGUGAUCCAGAUACACACUGUGGUAACCUCACACAACUGGGAAACAUAACAAGCAGAAGCUCUCUUUAACUGGCCAAGGUGAUAUUAAAGAACUGUACACUGGAAGAGUCAGCCCUUGAAUACCAGGUUGCUCAACAGCUGAUAAACUUGUCAUCUAGACCCCUGUGCUCUCCCUUCUGCACUCGUCCUUGUUAACUCAGGGAUAAUUUCUCCAGUUGGUGCAGGAUGCAUUAAUCCAUAAUCUAAAUUUCAGCUAAGCCUCUUUAUCUGUGCUUCUCGUUACUCUCCAGCUGGCUGGAGCAUGAGAUGUGCCUCGCUUGCCCUUUGGCACACUUGGGAAGGAAGGAGGACUAAGCUGGCUUUAAACUUGUACCUGGCUGCAGUCUAGGACUUACUGCUUUGGACACAGGCGUAGCACAGAGCAGGCUUAGGCUUUUUUCCACGCUUUGCUUUGUCUGCCAGCAUGUCCUGAGGACUGCUUUCUUUUGUAUGAGGAUUAU